UCGGGCUGCCGAUUGCUGUUUCUGGGGCACCGCGCGUGCUCUUUCAUUCUCCAAUUCACACUGGCGCGCAUGGUUUCCGCAAACACAAACAACCCUGUUCGGAACAACAAAGCCAAGGCAGGUUCUCACCCGUUAGCAAGCCGCUCCAAUGGCAACCCCCCGUGACAAUUUGAUGAGGGAAAAGAUGCCGAUGGAAACAUGCCUAUAAUUAAUAGCUAAUUGGUUCCGUCCUUUUCGACCUUGUUGCCAGAACGAGCUCAAGUCGUGUGUACAGGUGCCAUUUGUUUCCUCAAUUUGAUGCCCUGGACAAUGCCACAAGAUUUUCUUCAGUGUAAAACGGGAAAGGAAAUGUCAUCUCAUGCCUCUUUCUUUGGCUUGAUCUCAAGUUGACCCACACAAACUGCCAUCAGGGAUUCAUCAAAAAUAGCCCUCCCUCCCCGGACCAAUCACGCUCCAAGCUGAACCAGGAUCAGCCUCGAGCUUUAGUGGGGUGUCCAUUAAAGACAGAAGCGUCGCUCCUUCAACAGCAUCGGGACCUGGGGCUAUAUCGCCCGGAUGCCCGGGGUCAGACACCCCAGCUCCUAGUCUACACUUUAACGCCUCCCUGUGUCCUAGAAGCUCCGCCGCGGCAUCCUUCAUCCCUGCAAAGUGAUUUGGUGACAGUUGGGGAAUUAGAAGUAAUAAGUUGUUGCGUUUCGGUCCCGGGGAAGAAAGGAGAGCGGCGCCAUGGCGAGCCUGAGUUCCAGCAGGUGCGUCCUCCUCCGGCCACAAAUCCAGGUAGCACGGGCUGCCGCAUCUCAUGCUUUAAUUAGUGCUGCUGCCCUCCAUGUGGACUCGAUUAAACCGUGAUUUAUCGGAAAGAAAUAUAAUUAUGCUUCUAAAUAAAAUAAUCAGCAUUGAA